UAUAUGGACAGAUGAAAGCCGCCCGUCAUUAUUACUGCUUGUUUUGGAUCGGCAGGGAAGAAGUUAAAUUCCUCCCUGCCAGAAAUACAUGUGAGAGUGUGACUGGAGCCUUAAUUAGUCCCCCCUUCCAGGUGGAAUUUCCAGUUUUCCUGUUUUGAUGACUGCACCUUUUGACAACAGAUGGUGUCCAUUGUGUGAAGAUCUGCCAUGGGGGGAGUUACAGCACCAUGAACAGAAAGAGCAUCAUGCAAUGUGGAGGAGAUGAUGUCUGCCCUUACCUCCAUUACAAAACCACCUUGGUCUGCUGAUGUCAAACAUGCAGUGUACAUUUUACAUGAUAUGUAUUACCAGUCAUUUUUACAGUUGUUGCUAUGAGGUAAAAUGUAAAAAAAAAAUAAUAAUCUGUUUUGUAUACUAAACUACGUAAGAGCUAUAAUACUGUCUUCCAACUGCUGAAAGUAUUAGAGGAGUACUAUAUUUGAAAUAUAUUUGGGGCAUAUAAACAAGGUCUGUUAGCGUACAUUUCACAAAAGGAAAAAAAAUAAAUCAUUGAAGAAUGUGGUAAACAGUCAAGACUGGGACUUUGUUUCCUGAAAUGUUACAAAUCAUUCUAAAUGCCCAGGAUUCAAAUUAGUUACAUGUAUGCAAUAAAGUAAAAACACUGUGUAACAUUUAGUAUCAACGGUUAAAAAGCAUAGGCGU